GCAUAUCAAUAAGCGGAGGAAAAGAAAAUAACAAUGAUUCCCCUAGUAACUGCGAGUGAAGAGGGACAAGCUCAAAUUUUAAAUCUGUCGGGUUCUACCUGACCGAGUUGUAAUUUGAAGAGGCGUUUUCUGUGUUUCUGAUCAGUCCAAGUCCUUUGGGAUAAGGCAUCACGGAGGGUGAGAAUCCCGUUCGGUUGAUCAGAUUCGCUUUACGAUACGUCAUCAAAGAGUCAAGUUGUUUGGGAUUGCAGCUUAAAAUGGGAGGUAAAUUUCUCCUAAGGCUAAAUAACGGCGAGAGACCGAUAGCGAACAAGUACCGUGAGGGAAAGAUGAAAAGAACUUUGAAAAGAGAGUUAAAUAGUACGUGAAAUUGUUGAAAGGGAAACGAUUGAAGCCAGUCGUACCUGCGGGUAAUCAGCCUUUUGGGCAUGAUUCUGUGGAGCGUGAGGAGUUAAACGCCUUCAUGCCUGCAUAUUCGUGUACUUUGGGUGUACUUGCCUGUGUGGUUAGUUAACAUCAAUUUUGGUUAUCAUAAAAUGGCUGGAGGAAUGUAGCUUCGAUUUCGAUUGAAGUGUUAUAGCCUUCGGCAGAUGUGAUGAUCGGGAUUGAGGAUUGCAACGGAUACCCUUCGGGGCUACCUGUCUGAUCUCUGAUCGUUGCUCUGGUGCCGAAAGCGUGCUUACGGUUAUCAAAGUCGAUGGUUAAUAGGUUAGAACGGGUUAAAUUCGUUAAGGAUGUUGACGUA
rnacentral:rRNA from 1 species